rnacentral:lncRNA from 1 species
UCUUCUCUCUCCAUCAUUAUUCUUCUUCUUUUCAUUUAUUAUUCUUCUUCAUCUCUUCUCUCUCCAUCAUUAUCUACAAGAACUCAUAUUUGUUUCUUUUUUUUUGUUACAACAUAUUUGUUUCUUCUUCUUCCUUAUACUUCAUACAUCUCAAACCAUGUACUUAAGGUAAGUGCCAACACGAAUGUUGGGUAUUUUAUUUCAUUGUUUUUACUUUCAUACUGAGAUUUUUUAUUCAAAGGUUUUACCUUUGGAAUAUGAAGGUUGUGUUUCAAAAGGUUUUAUCUUUCAUGAAUGUUAUCUGUUUUUUGUUGCAUUCACCUUAUGAUGUUCAAUAUUUGUUUCUUGCUUGCUGUUGAACAUGCAUUUUCCAGAUCCGAACUACUAUGACACAGUCUACUUUUUCACAUCCAGUCUACUUUCACAUUUAUCCUCUUUGGCUUUUUUGGGUGUCUCUUUCAUAUUUUUUUGUGUUAAAAAUUUCAUCUUUAUGAUUUUUUAUGUUAAAAAAUUCAUCUUUUUUAUUUUUCCAGAUCCGAUCUACUUUGAAACGGUCUACUUUUUCAAAUUCGAUUGUUACUUUUACAUGCAUUUGUCUUUUGAAGAAUGUUUAUCCUCUUUGGCUUUUUGUGAAUCGUCAUUUCCUUUUUUCACAUGUUAUCUACUUUCAAAUUUUUAAUGUCUGAAAAAUGUGAUUUUGAGUACAUGUUUGUUACAUGCAUUUAACUUUCGAAUAAUAUUUAUCCUUUUUGUCUUUUUUGAUAUCUCUUUCAUAUUUUUUGUGUUAAAAAUUUCAUCUUUAUGAUUUUUCCACAUCCGAUCUACUUUGACACGGUCUACUUUUUCAAAUCCGGUUGUUACUUUUACAUGCAUUUGUCUUUUGAAGAAUGUUUAUCCUCUUUGGCUUUUUGUGAAUCGCCACUUACUUUUUUCACACAUUAUCUACUUUCAGAUUUUUAAUGUCUGAAAAAUGUGAUUUUGAAUACAUGUCUGUUACAUGCAUUUAUCUUUCGAAUAAUGUUUAUCAUUUUUGGCUUUUUUGAUAUAUUUUUCAUACUUUUUGUGUUAAAAAUUUCAUCUUUAUGAUUUUUCCAGAUCUGAUCUACUUUGACACGGUCUACUUUUUUCAGAUUUGAUUGUUACUUUUACAUGCAUUUGUCUUUUGAAGAAUGUUUAUCCUCUUUGGUUUUUUGUGAAUCGCCACAUACUUUUUUAACAUGUUAUCUACUUUCAGAUUUUUAAUGUUUGAAAAAUGUGAUUUUAAGUACAUGUUUGUUACAUGCAUUUAUCUUUCGAAUAAUGAUUAUACUAUAAUAUGUUGUUCAUUCUG